rnacentral:tRNA from 1 species
CGGGGCGUGGCGCAGCUUGGUAGCGCGUCUGGUUUGGGACCAGAAGGACGGUGGUUCAAAUCCACUCGCCCCGA